rnacentral:rRNA from 1 species
UACGCUGGCGGCACGCCUAAACAUGCAAGUCGAACGAAGUAGCAAUACUUAGUGGCAGACGGGUGAGUAACAUGUAGGUAUCUGCCCUUUGGCCUGGAAUAACACGAGGAAACUUGUGCUAAUACCGGAUAAGUCUUUACGGAGAAAGCUUUAUGCACCAUUGGAUGAGCCUGCACUUGAUUAGUUUGUUGGUGGGGUAAUGGCCUACCAAGACUGUGAUCAAUAGCUGAUUUGAGAGGAUGAUCAGCCACAUUGGGACUGAGACACGGCCCAAACUCCUACGGGAGGCAGCAGUGGGGAAUCUUGCACAAUGGAGGAAACUCUGAUGCAGCGAUGCCGCGUGAGUGAAGAAGGCCCUUGGGUUGUAAAGCUCUUUCGUCGGGGAAGAAAAUGACUGUACCCGAAUAAGAAGGUCCGGCUAACU